rnacentral:rRNA from 1 species
AUUGAACGCUGGCGGCAGGCCUAACACAUGCAAGUCGAACGCGUGGCGGACGGGUGAGUAAUGUCUGGGACCCUGCCUGAUGGAGGGGGAUAACUACUGGAACCGGUAGCUAAUACCGCAUACCAUCUGAUGUGCCCAGAUGGGAUUGGCUAGUAGGUGGGGUAAAGGCUCACCUAGGCGACGAUCCCUAGCUGGUCUGCGAGGAUGACCAGCCAAACUGGAACGGAGACACGGUGCAGACUCCUACGUGAGGCAGCAGUGGGGAAUAUUGCACAAUGGGCGCAAGCCUGAUGCAGCCAUGCCGCGUGUAUGAAGAAGGCCUUCGGGUGGUAAAGUACUUUCAGCGGGGAGGCGUUACCCGCAGAAGAAGCACCGGCUAACUCCGUGCCAGCAGCCGCGGUAAUAC